AAAACUAGGAGAAAGGCCGAAUGCAAUGGAAAGAAUAGAAUUAGAUGAAGCAAGGCUACAAGGGCAAGCAGAGAUAUGGCGUUACAUGUUCAGCUUUGCAGAUUCUAUGGCGCUUAAGUCUGCCGUGAAGCUUCGCAUAGCUGACAUAAUAUACUCUUAUGGUGGCGCGGCCACUUUGUCGCAAAUAGCUUCCUGCAUUAAUGAUGGCCUUACUUCGCCAGAUAUCACCACCCUUGCUCGCAUAAUGGGACUGCUUGUUCGCUGAAAGAUUUUCACUAUCCACUAUCCUGCAGACGGUAGAGAUCCCUUGUACGACUUAACUCACUCAUUGAGAUGGCUUCUACAUGACUCGGAGCAAACCCUGGCACCUAUGGUACUAAUGGAGAACCAUCCAUGGCAAAUGGCUCCUUGGCGCUACUUCAAUCAGUGCGUGAAAGAAGGUGGCGUUACCUUCAAGAAAGCUCAUGGAUGUGAAAUAUGGGAUUGAGCAUCGAGAAAUCCUGAUUUCAACAAGCUUUUUAACGAUGGCCUGGCUUGUACAUCCAAGGUCGUCACCAGUGUAAUCCUGUCAGGUUACAAACAAGGGUUCAACUCCAUUGGAUCAUUGGUUGAUGAUAGAGGUGGGACUAGAGGCUUAAUAUCAGAGAUCGUCAAAACAUAUCCACAAAUCAAAGUUAACAACUUUGAUUUGUGGAUAUGCUUUGACGAUCUCUGAUUUGCCGUAUGUUAUCUCGAUGGCACCGGCAUACAAUAGGGUCUCCCAUAUUGGUGGUGACAUGUUUCAUGCCAUUCCAAAUGCCGAUGCAAUCAUUAUGAAGGUAUUUGCUUAAAUCAUGAAUUUAAAUUGAUUUUUCAUAGAGUAUAGCAUCAAGAAGUUUUUUACACAAUUAUCGAUUUUAUUUCUUGUAAUUGUGAGAGUGAAAAUACAAAAUUACACUCAGGCUAUUAAUAAUUGAAUCUAAAUUUUAAAAUUUUAAAAAUAAAAUGACCAAAUUCCAUUAAAUAAAAAUAUAAAGAUUAAAUUUUAAUUUUCAAAAAUUAGAUGAUAGGGCAACAAACCUUAUCCUCUCUAUGGUUCAGUUUUUAUAUUGCAUUCAUCUUAUUUUAUAUAAAAUAUAAAAUUGGAAGGGGCGGUCUCAGGACCCAUUUCAUACCGGGAAAGAAGCAAGGGAAGGACACAUACACACCAUAUCACAAACAAAAAUUAGUCAACUAUUUUUUUUUCAAAAGUAAAAUUUAUACUUUUACAUUAUUUAAAACUUUAAUCUGUUUCAAAAUAAAUUAUUUAAAAAUUUAUUUCUAAAAUUAAAAAUUUUAAAAAUAAAACUUUAAUUCUAAAAAUCAUUUAAAAUUGAAAUUUUAAAUAUUUUAAAAAAAUUAAAAGUUUAUUUAUAAAAUUAAAAAAUAUUAGAUACAUAUUAUCUCUAUAAUUAUAUAGAUCUUUAUUUCUAAAAUUAAAAAAAAAUCAAUAAAAAUAUUUAAAAAUUUAUUCCUAAAAUUAAAAUUAAAAAAUAUUUUUUAUAAUUACGAAAAGGGAAUAGGGUUACUUAGAAUUGAACCCAAAACUCUCAUACUUAAAACAUAGUACUCUUGUCAUUAAGCUAAAAGAUUAUCGACAAUUAAAUUAAAAUUAUCUAUAUAAUAUAUAUUUAAUUUUUUUAAUCAUCAAUUAUAUUUAUUAUAAUAAUUUUAUCUUUGAAUUUUUUUAUAAUUAAAUUAUAAAUCAUAUGCAUAAUAUUACAAAUAUAUUAUCUUUUAAAAAUUGAAGUAUAGUUUUUAAGUUGAUUAUAUGUUCCAAUAAUUUUAAUUAAUAUGUGGUUAUUUAAAUAAUAAUUGUUGAAACCUUUUUUUUUGAAAGAUCGACUUAUAUUUUGAAAACGAAGAUGGAGUCGCCACGAAUCGCUUUUAGGAAGUGUGAUCGGGUCAUCUCGUAAUUUGAUCAUUUUAAUAAGAGGUUUGAUUUAUUAAAACAAUAUUUUUCGGUUUACAAAAAUCCAGAAAACGAGUUCGGGAGUCAGUUACGCACGAGGAAGGAUUAGCACCCUUGUUAUGUCUAAAAUUGAUACAUAAUUGAUUACUUGAUGCCUUUAGUGUCGAAAAUUAAAAAUUUGAAGAGAUUUUAGAAUACGACCCUUUAUUAAGACAUUACUAAAUUAAUUUUCAUGAAAAGGGGCUUAUUUCAAGUUAAUCGAGAAGAAAGGAUCCUGUCCCGUAAGUUAAGACAUAAUGCCUUAGAUCCUAAAGAACAAAAAUGAACGCCAUUUAAUCAUCACUUUAAAUCCCGUUUUUAUUUUAUUUGAAAGUAAAUAUUCGACUAUCUUGGUUUUAGAAAGAAGCCAUAUUUCGUAAGUUAAGAACACGACUUUUCUAAGUCCAAAAUAAUAACAUUACUUUGAUUUAAAAAAUUUCCUUUUUUGUGCCUUGUGCAAAGACGAAUGCAAUAUUUAAAAUAAUAUAUAUUUAGCUUAUUCGGGCAUAGUAUAAAUAUGGGUAAGUAUAUUUAAACACAACUCGUGGAAUUGUUAUAACAAAAUAAAAUAAAAAGGGAAAGGUAUAAAAAUGAAAUGAUGAUGUGUGAAAAAAUAAAAAUACCAUGCUAGUAAAUGACGAUGAUAUAAUUAUAAUAAUAAAAUACCAAUUAACAAUGGCAAUAAUCAUAUUAUAAUUACUAAUUGUAAUACUAAUUAAAUAAAAAUAUAAAAAAUAAAAAAAUAAAUAAUAAUGAAAAAUAAAUAACAAUAAUAAUAAUGAGAAUAAUAAUAAUAAUGACAAAAUGUGCAAAAUAAAAAUAUAAAGAACACUAUAAACUUUAAAUACAAAAAGAAUAAAGGAAUCAAUGAAUAAAUAAAUACGCAAAUAAAUAAAUAAAUAAAAACUUUCAUAAAAAUUUGAAAUUAAAUAAAACAAGGACUGAAUCAGAAUGAAAAUGAAGUUAAAAGUAUAAAUUAUGAUAAAAUAAGUAAAUAAAGACUAAAAUGAAAAGCACGAAAACACAUAAGGACUAAAUGCGAAAUAAUCCCAACCCCUAGGACAUGCGUCCUUUCUCCAAGAGAUCAGAGAACCGAGGACUUAAUUGAAAACGUGAUAAAACUGAAUGGCGAAAUUACUAAAAAUAAAUAAUAGCAAAAUUAGGAUUAAAUUAAAACAACUCAAAAAGUGGAAGGAGUAAAGUUGAAAUAUCCCCUUUAAGGAAAAAAUAUGCGAAUCCUGCUAGGUUGGGUUGGAUCAGUUCAAGUUUGGCCCAAAAACGACGUCGUUUUGGGGCGUUUCAGGCAAUCCCAAAACGGUGCCGUUUUGAUGCCUUAUUUAAACCAAAACUUUCCAAAAAAAACUCAUUUCAGCCCAUUUUUUUAAAAAGUUCUAAAAAAGCUUCCCUUUUUUCUCUGAAUUCGCCUCUGCUCCGACCAUAGGCACCGUCGUCGUCCACCGCCUCCAGUGGCAAGAAAAUUUUAAAAAAAAGGUAAGCAGCUUUUAGGAAUCCAAAUUUGGGGUUGGUUUUUCUAGAAACUAGCCAAAAUUUGCCAUAAAAGGUAAGGAACCUUUCGGUUUUAGGGUUCUAAAAAACUUUUCAACGUAAAAGGUGGUCACCAUUCAUUGGCGGUGACAACCUCAGCUGUUCACAGUGGUAGAAGACCGAACGCCAGGUGAGUCUUCUCCUUUCAUUUCCCUUUCUUAUUUUAUAUAUAAAUAUAAAUAAUAGUUUAAAAAAAUAAAGGAUCACCUUUGAAAUUUUGAUUCUGUAUUUCGAUUUUUUUUUGUAUUUUGAUUGCCCUCUGUGUAUCCUCCUCUGUAAACAAUGAUACAUUGGGUUCGAAUUUUAUAGCCAAGUAAUACAUAUUAUUUUGUUUGCUACUAUUCUUGCUAUUUCCUUUGCUCUGUUUUGCAUCCCUUUUUUGCAGGUGCUGGGGUCAACAGAGAUGAUCUUGCCAUUCUGGUGCAAUGCGGCCAAGGCAUCAGGCCUUGGGCGGCGUGCACUCUGCAGGGGCACGUGGGUGGCAGCAGUGCGGCUGGAGAGGGAUUUAGAAACCCUAGGGUUUUUGAAUUAGUUUAGGUUAUUGGGCUAAUGGGCCUUUUUUGUAUUUUGGGCUUGUACUUUUGUUAUUUGGGCCUAUAAUUUUGUUAAUGGACUAUUAUUUAUUAAGGCCUGGUCAAAUUUGGGCAUUACAAUAAUAAUUUUAAAAAAACACAUGGGGAAUAUGGGAUAGAAAACGAAUUACUUAAACAUAAAACAAUUCUAAUAAAAAGAGUUUAAAAACAAAAAUUGAAUUCAACCAUGAGAUCAUCUUUCUCAAACUUAUCUUUCUUAGAAAUAAGUUGUCGAAACCAUAAUUUCAUUUUGAAAACGGAGUCGACUUUUAGUUUGAAAACGAAAAUGGGAGUCGCCACCAAUCUUUUUUUGUGAGGUGUGAUCGAGUCACAUUGUGAUUGAUCGUUUUAAUAAAGCGUUUUGAUUUAUUAAAGCAACAAUUUUGGUCUACGAAAUUUGAGAAAACGGGUUCGGGAGUCUGUUACGUACGAGAAAGGAUUAGCAGCCUCGUAAUGCCCGAAAAUUGGUACUUAAUUGAUUAAUUAAUGUCUUAACGUCGAAAGUUGAAAAAUUCGAAAAGAAUUUAAAAUACAAUCCUCUUUUUUAUUAAUAUUAUUUUUAAGAAAAAAUUGCUUGAAUAAAUUGAAACGAACAUCAAAGAACUUCUCGUCUCAAGAUAACAAAAUGUCACAUCCCGUAAGUUAGGAUACGACAUUUGAACCCUCGAAAAUAAGCCUGCCUUUAAAUUGUUUUAUUUUAAAAUUCGUACUUUGAUUUUUAAAAGGGAAUUCGAUUGUUUAGACCCAACGAGGAAAAUCGAAACCCCGUAAGUUAGGGCACAGCCUUCUCGAAUUUUUAAACGCAAAAUAUUGUCUUUAUUCAAAAUUCACAUAUUUUAAAAUUUAAAAGGAUAUUCGGUUAUUUAGGUUUAACGAGGAAAUAGAAACCCCAUAAGUUAGGGUAUGAUUUCUAGAAAUUUUAAAUUUAGGGUACGAUUUCUAGAAAUUUUAAAUACAAAAUAUCGUCUUUAUUUUCAAGAUUAUCCUUUUUUACGAAUUUGGGUAAAAAUUAAUAUAAUAUAAAAAUGUGCUUCAUUUAUUCGAGUAUGACUAAAACGUAAAAAUUUAAUAAACCAAUAAAGCAUAAAAAAAUGAUAAAAAUCACAUCAAUAAUAUGCAUAAUAGAAAAAUAUUAAUAAAGAAAAAAGAUAAAUGACAAUAAUAUCAAGACACUAGAAGAGAGGCAAUAAAGGCCAAGAAUAAAAUAAAGUAAGAUAAAAUAAAUAAAAUAAAAUGAAGGUUCAUUGAGUACAAAUAUAAAGAAAUAAAGAGAAAACAAAAAAGAGAUAGUAAAUAAAUAAAUAAAAUAAACGAAACACAAAAAAUUAAAAUAAAAAAGGAAACCUCAACAGAGUUAAAAGGGAUUAAAAUGUUAUUGAAAUAAAAUUAAGGUUUCAAGUUCAAAUGAAAUAGAUUUAUAAAUAGAAUAGGGUUAGAAUUAUAAUGAAAUAAAUGUAAAAGGACUAAAUUGAAUUUUAAUAAGAAUUUUGAGUAAAAAUUAAAAAGGAAAAUAGAGCAAAGGGCCAUAUUGAGAAACGCGAAUAAUAAGGAGGGACCAAAUGGGAGAUUUUCCCUUUUCCUCCAAAACGGUGCCGUUCAAAUGGACUAUAUUGACCCCCAAAUAAAAUUCAAAGGCAUAAUUUAAAAUAAAAAAACUGGAUAUUAAAAACAGAAAAAGGCGGAAGGACCUUCAUCAUAAAUAACCCAAGGGUUGAAAAUACGCAGAUCCCCUGGUGGGUCGGGUCGCACGCGUGGGUCAGGGGAUUAAACGACACCGUUUUGGGGCUAUUGCUCUCAGCCUCAAACGACGUUGUUCCAUUAGCUUAUAAAAGGAAAUUUUUUUCCUAAAACUUUCAAUCUGCUCCCUUUAAAAAAAACACUUUCAAAACUCUUUUUCUCUCAACUAUCUCAACCUCUCCUUUGAAUCUGACCAGGAUGCCGGUGAGUUCGCGCGGUGGCUCCGUCGCAGCUCCGCCGCGGCGGUAAUAAAAAAGGGUUUAAAAUUAAAAUCCCUCUUUUUUUCUUUAAAUACUCACCCGAUUUGGGUAUUUCUAAACUGAAAACAAAGAUGAAAAGAGAGGGGAAAAUGAAAAUACCUUUCGGCCUCCCUGUUUCCCUUGUUAAACGAAUCCCGAACGGAACCCUAAAGGGUUUCCACAGCUUUCGUGAACAGAGGGAUCCUCCGAUGAUGGCGAAGUAUAGAGAAUAAGGUAAGUUUUUUAUUUGCAAAAAUGAAAUACAUAAGGAAAAUCACCUUUUUAAUUACUUUUCUGUUUUUUGAUUGCUAUAUUCGUGUCCAUGUGUAAAAAAAAAUUCAUUGACAAUCUCUAGCUUUUUAUAGCCGAAAACAUUACAACAAAAUUAUCUGUUUUUGCUACUGUUCUUUGGCUAUGCUGUUGCAUUUGUUUUCUUUGCAAGUACAGAAGCAACGUGGCAGGGGCAGCUGGAGGCCGUACACGGGAGCAACGGUGCACAUAGCAACUAGGGUUUUAGUUUCUUGGCUAUGAAUGUUUUGGUUUUGGGCCACUUGGGCCUUGUGAUUUUUGGGUUUAAAUUUCGGGCUUGUAUUUUGUUGUUGGGCUGUGGACUAUUGUAAUUUGGGUUAUAAUUUUAGACUUGUAACAAAAACUUGGACUCUUGAUUAGUUUUUUUUAUUUAUGUUUUUAUUAGUUUUUUGGUUAUUUGGCCCCGGGCAAAUUUGGCCCAUUACAGCUGCCCCUCUUUGCUCAUUUUCGUGUAAUGAGAAUAGAGCAAAGACUUUAAAAAGGGUCAAUUUUACUGGGUCUUGCCAAAUCUUUGACUUUGGUGUUUCUUUUCUUAAAGUAGCCUCGUUCCAACCCAUUGCAACUUAAGGGGUAUAAGAAUUGUCGCUUCAAUCUACUUCGCUGUAACUUUCGGGGGCUAGACUUGUAGCUUUAAUCUAUUCCACUGCAACUUUAGGGAAAUAAGAUUCACUAUCUUCAGUCUAUUUCACUGCAACUUUAGGGAGAUGAGGUUAAUGGUUACAAUCUGCUCCACUACAAAUUUAGGGAGAUGAGAUUUGUAUCUUCAAUCUACUCCACUGUAACUUCAGGGAGAUAAUACUCACUAUCUUCAGUCUGCUCUACUGCAACUUCAGGGAGAUAAGGCUGGUGGCUUCAGUCUGCUCCACUGCAACUUCAGGAAGAUAAGAUUCGUCAUAAUUUGUAGCUUUAAUCUGUUCCACUACAACUUCAAGGAAAUGAGAUUCGCUAUCUUCAGUCUACUCCGCUGUAACUUUAACGAGAUAAGGCUAGUGGCUUCAAUCUGCUCCAUUGCAACUUUAAGAAGAUAAGAUUCGUCAUCUUCGAUCUUCUCCACUACAACUUCAAGGAGAUAAGAUCUACAACUUCAAUCUGCUCCACUGCUACUUCAGGGAGAUGAGAUUUGUGGAUUCACCGAUCUUGUUACAUCGUCCUCUGGGGGACAUGAUCUGUAGAAUUGAUUUAAUGGGCCUAUGUUUAUGCCAAGUGCUGAGGAUAUUAUGAUCAAAAUGAAUCAAAUACUCUUAUUUUAAUGUGUACGAAUGAUAUUUACAUGAAUGCAGCAUGUCACUUUUCGAGAAUGAUCCUCUUUUAAUGCUUAGGUUGUUAUUGCUCGUUGUUCAUCAAGGUUUGAUAUGCUACCAUGCCUUCUUGUUUAGCUGGUAUCCUUGACAGAAGAUUUGAAGAAAUAGUCAUAAUUUAGACUAUUCUUUCUCAGAUGUUUCCAACUCUGGAAUUUGGUUAGUUCUGACUAGUGGUCCUGUUUCAAGUCCUUAUACUAUUUAGAAACUUUUCAAAGUAAUAUGCAGAACUUCUUUUAUGUGAAUAUUAUAAGUCCAAUAAUCGUUGUUUCAAUAAAAAAAUGCUUGAAAAAGAUUAUCACAAUCGACAAGAUUAGAUUUUAUUGUGAGCAAUGCUCAAAAUGGAUAAAUUAAUCAAGAUAGAAAAUUUUGCUAAAGUACAAAAUGAAUAAGAUGAAAAAUAGGUGCCCCAGAUAUCGCAAUGUGAGCUUCUCUAUUCAAACUUCUCAAAGACCAUUUCGAGUUAGAUAUGUGUAUAGGAGAUCUCAAGUAUUUUGUUGAUACCCCAAGAUGUAACGUUCCUCCUUCUUGUUAACUCUGAGAGGACAAAACUACUACAUGCCCCAUCUUCGAUCAAAAUUUGAGCCGCCCUUUUUCGAGUUUUCAACUCAAGAUCCCUUUGGUCUCAAGGCGCCUUUUGCGGGUUUUCGUCUUGGCCUCUCCCUUUUUUUUUAGGUCUCAAAGUGCCCUUUGCGAGUUUUCGCAUUUGCCUUCCCCUUUUUGGGUGAAGUAUUUCUUGACUAAAUCCGAAUUUACAGGAUUAGGCAAGUUUUUUCCAUCCAUCUCGGUCAAAAUCAGUGCUCCUCUGAAAAAGACUUUUUGUACCACAUAAGGUCCUUCCCAGUUUGGCAUCCAUUUCCCUUUAAAAUUCUUUGUAUCGAAGGGAUCUUUUUCAAUACUAGAUCCCCCUCAUGGAAUUCUCUAGGGUGAACCUUUUUGUUAUAAGCUUGCAUUAUCCAUUUUUGGUACAUCUGACCACGACGGAUAGCCCUUAGCCUCUUUUCUUCAAUCAAAUUCAACUGAUCGUAUCGAGACUAGAUCCAUUCUACUUCAUCUAGCUUUACCUUUGACAGAACUCAGAGGGAUGGAAUCUCAACUCCAAUGGGCAAAAUUGUCUCCAUUUCGUAGACCAAAGAGAAAUGUGUUGCCCUGGUGGAGGUCUUGACAGACGUUCGAUAAGCAUAGAGGGCGAAUGGUAACUUCUCAUGCCAAUCUUUAUAGGUUUGCCCCAUUCAUAUUCGAGUGAUACGGUGUCGAGUUGUGGUAUCUGAUCUUGAAUUGACUAUAGACCUUCGCUAUCGUACUAUUGUUCAAGUUCAGUGCAUUGUCAGAUAUGAUCCUCUCCGGCAUUCCAUAUCGAUAUAUGAUAUUCUUUUUCAGGAAUUUGCUAACUAUCAAGUUUGUAACAUUGGCAUAUGAAGCAACUUUUACCCAUUUGGUGAAGUAGUCGAUAACCACAAAGAUGAAUCGAUGCCCAUUGGAAGCUUUUGGUGAUAUUGGCCCAAUCAUAUCCAUGCCCCACAUAGAGAAAGGCCAUGGAGAAGUCAUAACAUGAAAAGGUGAAUGAGGCACAUGAAUUUUGUCUCCAUAAAUUUGGCACUUAUGACAUCUCUUAGCAUAAUUAAUGCAAUCCCCUUCCAUGGUGGACCAAUAAUACCCGAAUUUUAUAAUUUGCCUAGCCAUUGUAAAGCCAUUAGUGUUUGUCUCGCAGACGCCCUCAUGGACUUCUUUCAAGAUUUUCUUAGCCUCGACAGCGUCCAUACAUCUUAAUAGCACAUGAUCUUUUCUUCUUUUGUAUAAGAUCUCCCCAUCUAAAACAUAGUCACAGGCUAGUCUUCUAAAUGUCCUUUUAUCAUUCUCAGUUGCUUGGUCAGGGUAUUCACGAUUUUUCACAUAUCACAGUAUAUCGUGGUACCAAAGAUGCUCAUCUUUUUCUUCUUCUUUGAAGUUCCAGUAGUGGGCCGGAAUUUUAUAAAUACUCAUCUGGAAAGUUUUAUGUCCUCUUAUUUGUUCACUUUGAUCAUGGAAGCUAAAGUAGCCAAUGCGUCAGCCAUUUGGUUCUUAUAUCGUGGGAGGUAGCAGAAGGUGACGUCAUCAAAAUCCUCAAUUAACUCCAAAACUAACUUUCAGUAAUUGAUCAAUUUGGGUUCUCUUGUCUCCCAUUCACCUUUGAGCUGAUAGAUUACUAGUGCAGAGUCCCCAUAUACCUCUAGCACUUUGAUUCUGCAUUCUAUGGCUGCGCGGAUACCCAUGAUGCAUGUUUCAUAUUCUGCAUGUUAUUCGUACAAUCAAAAUCCAGUUUACUAGUAAAGGGAUAAUGAUAUCCGUUUGGGCAUACCAAGACUACUCCGAUUCCAUUACCCAUAGCAUUUGAGACUCCAUCAAAAUUUAGUUUCCAAGGACGACCUUCUUGAGAACCUUCUUCAGUGGUUGCAAUAUACAUUAGAUCUUCAUUUGGGAAAUCAAAGUUCAAGGGCUCAUAAUCUUCCAAAGCUCUACUAGCCAGAAAAUCUACUAUUGCACUCCCUUUUACAGCUUUCUAGUUCACAUAGACUAUAUCAAAUUCAGAGAGCAGAAUUUUCCAUUGGGCCAUCCUUCCAUUCAAAGCUGUUGACUCUAUCAUGUACUUCAGCGAGUCCAGUUUUGAGAUAAGCCAAGUUGUAUGAUACAGCAUGUACUGUCUUAGUCUUCGGGUCAUCCAAAUUAAGGCACAACACAAGUUCUCAAUCGGUGAGUAUCUUGUCUCACACUAAGUUAACUUUUUACUGAGGUAGUAUAUCGCUCUUUCUUUCUUUCUUGACUCAUCAUGUUGGCCUAGUACGCAUCCCAUGGAAUUCUCAUAUACCACCAAAUACAGUAUCAAUUGCUUAUCUGGGUUGGGUGGCAUCAGUACCAGGGCAUUAGAUAAGUACUGUUAGACUUUGUCGAAAGUCUUUUGGCAUUCCUCAUCCCAUACACCUAGGUUGUGUUUCUUAACGAGACGAAAUAUGGGGUCACAUUUCUCGAUUAGUUGUGAGAUGAACCAAGUGAUGUAACUUAGUCUUCUAAGGAAACCUUGAACUUAUUUUUGAGUAUGUGGCGAAGGUAGCUCUUGUAUGGCCUUGACUUUCUCUGGGUCGAUCUCAAUCCCUUUUUCAUUGACUACAAAUCCUAGCAGCUUUUCGGACUUGGCUCCAAAAGUACACUUUGCUAGAUUGAGCUUUAGCUGGAAUUUUCUCAACCUUAAGAAUAAUUUCCUCAAGACUUGAACGUGCUCCUUCUCUGUUCGGGAUUUUGCGAUCAUAUCAUUAACUUACACUUCGAUUUCUUUGUUCAUGAUAUCAUGGAACAAGGUUACCAUGGCUCUUUGAUACGUUGCUCUGGCAUUUUUCAGUCCAAAUGGCAUCAUUUUAUAGCAGAAAGUUCCCCACACGGUUAUGAACGUGGUCUUCUCCAUGUCUUCAGGAUGCAUCUUAAUCUGGUUGUAUCAGGGAAAACCAUCCAUGAAAGAGAACAGUGAGUGACCUGCCGUAUUGUCCACUAGGGUGUCAAUAUGAGGUAGUGGGAAAUUAUCUUUCGAGCUGGCUUUAUUCAAAUCUCUGUAAUCUACAUACAUUCGUACAUUUCCAUCUUUUUUAGGUACAAGGACGAUGUUGGCUUCCAUUCUGAAUAUUUGACCACCUUUAAAAAUCCAGCGUUGAAUUAUUUUUUGAGCUCUUCUUUUAUUUUUAGCAGAACAUCAGGUCUCCUCCUUCAGAGCUUCUGUUGUACUGACUAACUCUUGGUAGGACCACGCGAAGACAUCUUUGAAUUCUUGGAGUAACUCAAUGAGGUCUCGCUCUGUCUCUACGGUGAUACAAGUUCCAAUCUUCACCUCUUUUUCCUCUCCUAAGCUCACAAUUUCCACUGACUCUUUGUGAGGUAGGAUUUGAUUUGUUUUUCAUCUUGCUCUACCAUCCUCAACAAAUCAAGAGAUAGGUCACUUCCUCGGUCAUUUUCAAAAUCCUGAGAAUCCUCCACACACAUAUCUUGCUCAAAAGGAGACUUUGAGUCAUUAGCAGCGUCGCUCAUAUCAUUGAUAUCUAGGGGCCUGUUAUGGGGAUGAAGGAAGAUACAAAGAACCAAAAGAAUCUAAGAAUAAUUAUUUGCAUGGUAUGAAUGAAGAACAAAAGAAUAUUUGUAAGAAGGUCCAUAGGACCAAAGAAUCUAAGAACAAUUAUUUGUAUAAUAUGAUUAUGAAUUAAAUGGAAAGAAUGAAAGAAUAUUUGCUCAAAAAGAUAGCAAAGAUGCAUUUCAUUGAAAUAACGUUUUUGGACAUAAGCCUAUUUCAAAAAAGAUUCUUAUUACUCCUGGGCCUAAAGUAAUAAGUGUGUUUUGGACAUUACUCUGAAUUAGCUCUAAAAAUAUAGGAAUCUCUUCCGCAGUCCAGAUGUCAGAACACUUCCAGGUACGUAAGGGCAAAUGCUCGACAAAUUCUCUUCUUCGGUUCUUUUUCUGAUAUGGCGUUGAUGUUUAGGUUUUCCAACAUUUCUGUAACGCCCCUAACCCAAAUCCGUCACCGGAAUAGAGUUACGGAGCAAUACCGGAGUUACUGAUUCAUUUAUCAGAUAUUUCAUUAAUCCGAUAUCUUUUCUUUUCCACGUUCAAGUCUCGUAUUCAAGUCAUCCAGAUCUUUAUAAAGAAAUUUGAUCGUCGUUUUCAUUUAUUUCAUGUUAUAAUACAUUCAACUAAUGCUCUAAACAAAAUUAUCAUUUUACCCUUAAACUUUUAAUUAAUGACGAUUUCAUCCUUAGGUUAAAAUAAAAUAAAAUUAUUACAAUUUAAUCCUUAUUUCCAGCCGUUAUUCUCACACAAAUUGAUAACAACCUAUGAAUUCUAUAAAAUGUCAGAAUUUUCCAUAAUUUCAACACUUUUCAAUUUAAUCCUUAAAACAAGUUUUUCCCUGAUAUUGAGCUAAAUUAAUAAUUUCAUUCAAUUUUGUAAUUUAAAUAAUAAAAUAAUUCAUUUAUGCAAAUUGGUCAUUUCUAACAUUUUUUUACAAAAUUGCCCUUAAAAUUUUACUUUUAUUCAAUUUAGUCCAUAAGCCUAAAACAUACAAAUUAGCCAUGCUAGCUGAAUAUUCAUACAUAUUUUCCUCCUCCUCCUCUCCAUUCCACAUCCUUAAUUUAUAUAACAUGCAACAAGUAACAUUAUCAAUAAUUUCACUAUUUACUUAUGUAUAUUCAAAACUGUCCAUUUGCAUCAUAGUCACUAAAUUAUUUAUAUCUUAAGCUACAGAACUCGAAAUUAAGACCCGCUAAUUUUCCUUGAAACUAGGCUUACUUAUCUUAUGACCAUAAAAUUUUCAGAAUUUUUGGUUUAGCCAAUAAGUAUAGUUUAUUCUUUAAAGUUGCCCCUGUUCUGCUGCCUGACAGUUCCGACCCUUCUUCACUAAGAAUUAAUUAUCUCAUCGUACGAGAUUCGGAUGAUGUUCCCGCUUAUUUAUAUUGAAAAUAGACUGUUUAAGGAUUUUAAACAUAUAAAUUUAAUUCCUUAAUUAUUUUUCUCCAAUUUUUGAUGAUUUUCCAAAUUUAGAAUAGGGGAACCCGAAAUCAUUCUGACAUUGUCUCACAAAACUUAUUAUAUCUCAUGAUUUACAAUUCCAUUGCUUACACCGUUUCUUCUAUAAGAAACUAGACUCAAUAAGCUUUAAUUUCAUAUUUUAUUCAUCCUCUAAUUAAAUUUAUACAAUUUUUGGAGAUUUUUCAAAGUUAGACUAUUGCUGCUGUCCAAAACUGUUUUAGUGCAAAAUGUUGAUUUUUAUUUUGCCCCAAAUUUCACAAUUCAUACAAUUCAGUCCUUACUUAAUUAACCCAUCAAUUAAACUAAUUUUCUCAAUUAAUACUUUUCCUAGACAUUAUGAGUUAUUUCAUAACUAUUGAAAUUCAGAAUUUCCACAUAAAACUCUAACUUCAAACUCUUUUACAAUUUAGGUCCGAAACGUUCACUUUCUAUUCAAUUCUUACAAUAAAAUCAGCAUAUAAACAAUUUAAAGCUCUAAUUCUAUAUCAAAUCAUCAUAUACUUCCAGCACAUAUUCAUAGAAACUUUCAAUUUCUUUCAUAGAAUCAAGAACUAAUGAAUUCAACAAAUGGACCUAGUUGUAAAAGUCACAAAAACACAAAAAUUUCAAGAAAUAAUCAAGAAUUGAACUUACUUGCAGUAAAAAUAUGAAAAACCAGCUUAAGGGAACUCUUCCAUGGUGUUUUUUCUGAUGAUAAUGCAGAAAAAUAAAAAGAAAUCUAGAUAACUCCACUUUAGUCCUAGCUUUAUUAAGUAAAUUUUGCAAUUUUCCAAUUUUUCCCUUAUUUGCUUGGUGAUUUCAUGCUCUUGCCGUCCAGCGCAAAUAGACCUUGGGUCUAUUUUCCUUUUAAACCCUCUUUCUUUUAUCAUUUAAGCUAUUUAAUCAUUUCCCACAAUUUUGCAUUUGAUACAAUUUAGUCCUUUUUGUUCAAUUAGCUAUCAGUACUUUAAAAUUUCUUGACGAAACUUUAAUACUAACUUAUUAACACUCCAUAAAUAUUUAUAAAAAUAUUUAUGGCUCGAUUUAAAAUUCCCGAGGUCUCGAUACCUCGUUUUCAAUUCUAAUUAUUUUAAUAAUAUAUUUUUUGUACAUUUCACUAUUUCAAAAUUUUUCCUAACUUCACAUUUAACUUAUACUCACUAAAUUAAUAAUAUUUCCUACUCAUUUGUCGGAUUUAGUGAUCUCGAAUCACUGUUCCGACACCACUGAAAAUUAAGCUAUUACAACUCUCCCCCCCUUUAGGGAUUUUCGUCCCCGAAAAUCUUACCAGAAGAAGUUGCUUUCAACACUCAUAAAACACCUUUACUAACUUCUCAGAAUCACAAUUUGAUUUAACCUCGAAUAUAUUUUUCCAUUCAUCUUUGAACUCUAGAACACAAUGUUGGAACAUACUGUCAAAAUUCUAAAUUACCCUCUCAGGGAUACAUAUACUCAGCUGAUCUGUCAAAUGAAAACUUUGUACCUACUGAAAUGAUCAUACAGAUCUUUCUUUGUCAAAUAAACAACCAUAAACUAAAUAACAUUUUCCUUUCCGAUGUUAAUGACAAUCCCAAUUCGAAAUCUAUAGUCAUUCUAUCUCAUAACACACUAGUAUUAUCAUUGACUGCAAUAAUCCUAAAUGUUCUUAAUGUUCUACUUACUUGCUAACAAAUAGACAUCUGAACAUGAACUCAAAGAUAUUAUGUAACGCUCGUACAAUCACUAGUACAUCUAACUCACGAGAAGAUAAUAAAGAUCUUGAUAAUUUCUCAAAAAAAGCGAGAAGAAAAACACUGCUUACCGACUCUGGACUUCCAUCAUAACAGAGAUAAUAUAUUUCCCGCAUGUAUAAAACAAAACCAUAAUCAGUAGAAACAUAAGAAUAGUCUCACAUAAAUUUUUACCAUUAACUUCAUUUCCAACAUAUUAAAAUAGAAUUCCAAGAAGAUGAAGAAAUGACGAUCAUAAACCGAUCAGACCAAUAGGGCUUUCGUCUAACAUCAUAAUUAACUAGAAUUCUCAAAACAUCAGAACUCCACCAGAGACUGAACAACCACACACACAUAUCUCUGAGGAUAAAAGAAUAUAUAGAAUACCUAGAAAAGAUAAUCAUAUUCGUUUCAACUGUAAUUAUCACACACAGACAUCUUUACUACUCAAUUAUCAUUUUUUUUACUAAUUCUGUCAUCAUGAACCCCGCAUCAUUCCAUUCACUAACGAAAACCAAUUCGGGAAAAAUUUCAGCAAACACAUACUUCAGACAUUGUAUCUGAAUAAGUCGACUAGCCGAGGUUAACUUUUUCUUUAACCGUGAUAUUACGUAAUCUGAAUGAUCUUUAGAAUAAUCUGAUAUCUUUUUUUUAUACUGUAUUCACUUGUCAAACUAUUUUCAACUCCGUCUGCAUUAUUAAUUAAUCCAUUACUGUACUCAUUAGUUUCACAUUUGUGAACUUAUUCAACUUUUUUUUUUUGUAAAUUUUCAUUAUAAAAUACUACAUUGGUAAGAGGGUGAGGUCGUAAAGCCUCUAACUGAGUUCUCAUAAAUACACACAUAUAACUUAGCAUUUAUCAUCAACAUCAUAUCAUCACAAUUACAUAAUUCACUUCAAACAAAUUAACAUACAUGAUUAUGUUACACGAACUUUUCAAUUAUCCAUUUCAAACUAGUGUACUUAAACAUACAUUCCAUGAAUUUUGAGUAAAUUUACUCAUAGCAUUUACUUAACCAAACAAGUCAGACACAUAAUAUCAUAUGAAUGCCACACAAAUAUAGAUAAGUUUAUCACAAUAUAAACUUUCAUUUCAUUCACGUUUCAUCAUUUCUCAACUUUUGAUUAUCUCAUUUCGUACAUUGUCACAUACAUAUCAUGAACUUCUAUUCUUACAUUUCUAAGUUCCUUCUCAUCAUAAACACAUUUCAAAUAUCUCAAUAUCACUAACUCAUACUUCUCUUACCAUAUACAUAAUUUAAAUUUAACAUUUAAUAAUAAAUAAUUUGAAUUAUAGUAAUAUAAUCGUACGUUGAAUAUGUUUGUACUCAGUGGUAUUACCAUAAUUCAAAUUAUAAAUACUAUAAUAAAUAAUAGACAUCAACCAUGUAACAUUAUAAGUCAUAUGUGUUAAUUAUCCUUUAAUUUCAUAUCUCGGCAAUAGUCUUUCAUCAAAUGACAUCAUAUAUCAUCUAUAUUAUCUUUAAUCAAUUCAUGAACCUUUGGUUCAAGCUUUCAAUCUCAUAUCUUUAUUUCAAUUCACAAUUCACAUUUCUUUUCAUAAUUCCACUUUUUCACACUUUCUAUAGUUUAAUCGAUUAAAUUCAUUCGAUUUUCUCAUUUCAUUUACUCAAACCUAUUAACAUAACUCGGACUCAGACGGAUACACGGAUCCAACCAAACACACCAGUAAGGCACAUUGUGCCUAAAACGGUACAUAGUACCUGAUCAGAAUACGACACAUAAGUGCCUGAAAUACGACACAUAAAGUGCCUGAUCAGUAAAGCCGACAAAUCCCGUACACUUCUAGUUCCUAUGGCAUGCCAAUUAUAUUCGACUAGUCCGAAAAGUUAAUAGGGAAUUCAAUUCUCAUUUCAAUUUCACUUAAUAUUCAUAUUUACCCCUAUUAACAAGACUCAGACUUUGGCGGAUACACGGAUUCCAUCCAAACACACCAAAAUGUCCAACCAAAACACACCAGUAUAAUCCUCCAAAACACACCAGUAUAAUAUAAUCCUCCCAAACACACCAGAAUAAUAUAAUCCAUCCAAAACACACCAGAAUAGCACAAAGUGCCUUUUCGGAUAAAUCCGAAGGACAUAAACAUCAGCAUAUCCAAAUCUCAUCUCCAAAUCCCUUCUCAAAAUCCUAUGGCAUGCCAACUAUAUCCGACUCAGUCCGGUACAAUUAAUAGGGUAUUCAAUUCACUUUCCAGCUUCCAAUCAAUACACAUUUCAAUUAAUCACAUAUUCAUAUCAAUUUCAUCACAUUCCCAAUCAAUAAAAUUUUCAAAUAUAACAUAUAUCCAAAAUUCUAUUUCCACAUCAAUCACAUAUAUCCAAACAAAUUUAAUUCAAUAUUGAUACUUACCUUAAAAUUUUACUUACUAUACACAUAAAUUUAAAUAUAACAUUUAUUCAUACCUUUAUGAGUUUCGACUCAUCAUAAUCUACUUUUGCUCACAUAUUUGAGUAUCGCUUUCAACAUUAUUGUAAUUAGCUCGGUUGGGAAAGUAUCUCUAUCUUUAAGUAAAAUAAAUCUCAUCAGAGCUGGAAGAUAUUAAAUUAUCUUAUCACAAGUUAUAUAAUGGCAUGUAUUUCUAGACUUCACAUAUGCUACGUUUGGUCCGAGAACUGACUAAAACUUAGCUCUGAUACCAAUAAAUGUAACGCUCCUAACCCAAAUCCGUCACCGGAAUAGAGUUACGGAGCAUUACCGGAGUUACCGAUUCAUUUAUCAGAUAUUUCAUUAAUCCGAUAUCUUUUCUUUUCCACGUUCAAGUCUCGUAUUCAAGUCAUCCGGAUCUUUAUAAAGAAAUUUGAUCAUCAUUUACAUUUAUUUCAUGUUAUAAUACAUUCAACUAAUGCUCUAAACAAAAUUAUCAUUUUACCCCUAAACUUUUAAUUAAUGACGAUUUCAUCCUUAGGUUAAAAUAAAAUAAAAUUAUUGCAAUUUAAUCCUUAUUUCCAGCCGUUAUUCUCACACAAAUUGAUAACAACCUAUGAAUUCUAUAAAAUGUCAGAAUUUUCCAUAAUUUCAACACUUUUCAAUUUAAUCCUUAAAAUAAGUUUUUCCCUGAUAUUGAGCUAAAUUAAUAAUUUCAUUAAAUUUUGUAAUUUAAAUAAUAAAAUAAUUCAUUUCAUGCAAAUUGGUCAUUUCUAACAUUUUUUUACAAAAUUGCCCUUAAAAUUUUACUUUUAUUCAAUUUAGUCCAUGAGCCUAAAACAUACAAAUUAGCCAUGCUAGCUGAAUAUUCAUACAUAUUUUCCUCCUCCUCCUCUCCAUUCCACAUCCUUAAUUUAUAUAACAUGCAACAAGUAACAUUAUCAAUAAUUUCACUAUUUACUUAUGUAUAUUCAAAACUGUCCAUUUGCAUCAUAGUCACUAAAUUAUUUAUAUCUUAAGCUACAGAACUCGAAAUUAAGACCCGCUAAUUUUCCUUGAAACUAGGCUUACUUAUCUUAUGACCAUAAAAUUUUCAGAAUUUUUGGUUUAGCCAAUAAGUAUAGUUUAUUCUUUAAAGUUGCCCCUGUUCUGCUGUCUGACAGUUCCGACCCUUCUUCACUAAGAAUUAAUUAUCUCAUCGUACGAGAUUCGGAUGAUGUUCCCGCUUAUUUAUAUUGAAAAUAGACUGUUUAAGGAUUUUAAACAUAUAAAUUUAAUUCCUUAAUUAUUUUUCUCCAAUUUUUGAUGAUUUUCCAAAGUUAGAAUAGGGGAACCCGAAAUCAUUCUGACAUUGUCUCACAAAACUUAUUAUAUCUCAUGAUUUACAAUUCCAUUGCUUACACCGUUUCUUCUAUAAGAAACUAGACUCAAUAAGCUUUAAUUUCAUAUUUUAUUCAUCCUCUAAUUAAAUUUAUACAAUUUUUGGAGAUUUUUCAAAGUUAUACUAUUGCUGCUGUCCAAAACUGUUUUAGUGCAAAAUGUUGAUUUUUAUUUUGCCCCAAAUUUCACAGUUCAUACAAUUCAGUCCUUACUUAAUUAACCCAUCAAUUAAACUAAUUUUCUCAAUUAAUACUUUUCCUAGACAUUAUAAGUUAUUUCAUAACUAUUGAAAUCCAGAAUUUCCACAUAAAACUCUAACUUCAAACUCUUUUACAAUUUAGGUCCCAAACAUUCACUUUCUAUUCAAUUCUUUCAAUAAAAUCAGCAUAUAAACAAUUUAAAGCUCUAAUUCUAUAUCAAAUCAUCAUAUACUUCCAGCACAUAUUCAUAGAAACUUUCAAUUUCUUUCAUAGAAUCAAGAACUAAUGAAUUCAACAAAUGGACCUAGUUGUAAAAGUCACAAAAACACAAAAAUUUCAAGAAAUAAUCAAGAAUUGAACUUACUUGCAGUAAAAAUAUGAAAAACCAGCUUAAGGGAACUCUUCCAUGGUGUUUUUUCUGAUGAUAAUGCAGAAAAAUAAAAAGAAAUCUAGAUAACUCCACUUUAGUCCUAGCUUUAUUAAGUAAAUUUUGCAAUUUUCCAAUUUUUCCCUUAUUUGCUUGGUGAUUUCAUGCUCUUGCCGUCCAGCGCAAAUAGACCUUGGGUCUAUUUUCCUUUUAAACCCUCUUUCUUUUAUCAUUUAAGCUAUUUAAUCAUUUCCCACAAUUUUGCAUUUGAUACAAUUUAGUCCUUUUUGUUCAAUUAGCUAUCAGUACUUUAAAAUUUCUUGACGAAACUUUAAUACUAACUUAUUAACACUCCAUAAAUAUUUAUAAAAAUAUUUAUGGCUCGAUUUAAAAUUCCCGAGGUCUCGAUACCUCGUUUUCAAUUCUAAUUAUUUUAAUAUAUAUAUUUUUUGUACAUUUCACUAUUUCAAAAUUUUUCCUAACUUCACAUUUAACUUAUACUCACUAAAUUAAUAAUAUUUCCUACUCAUUUGUCGGAUUUAGUGAUCUCGAAUCACUGUUCCGACACCACUGGAAAUUAGGUUGUUACAAUUUCUUCCGUAGUUUCCUUUCUCAGCAUCCUCCGUUUAGGGUGAAUAAUCCCUCCUGAUACAAAAGUUCUAGAUAUGUGGGGGAAUAUCAUUGGUUCCCAUUUGAUUUUCUCCCCGUUCAACCUUGCUCUCAUCAUCUCUUGCUUCUUUUCCAGCUCUUUCUUUAUUUGUCUCGCGUCUAGCUUGAAUCCUAAUCCGAAGCGGUCUUGUUUAUCCUUUAUUAUCAAUGCCUCGACCCUUCAUUGGAGGUAUCUCCUGAGUCCUCUUCCUGGUAAGGCUCCAUUCCCAACAGUCAGUUGUAGGCUCAUUCUCGUUGUCUUGGAUAUCUUAGGCAUUGGGAUCCUGUUCCCUUCGAUGAUGAAUGUUGUGUUCACAAAUUCCAAAUAUCGAAAGGGACAUUCGAUCGCUUCAUCACUUGCCUUUAGAUACGGCGUGUCACUGGUCACCGCUGUAAUGAUGUCUUCUUCUACAUUUAUUGUCACCAGCCGACCUUCCGUUACUAACUUCAACUUUUGGUGUAGUGAUGAAGGCACUACCCCUGCUAAAUGUAUCCAAGGCCUACCCAAUAGGCAAUUAUAAGAAGGUUUAAUGUCCAUUACCAAGAAUUCUACCUCGUACGUUUUUGGGCCAAUCAGAAGGGGUAUUUCGAUUCUUCCUAUUACCCUCCUUUCGAUGCCGUCGAAUGCCCUCACUAUGUUUUGGCGUGUCUUCAUAUGAGAGCUAUCCACAGUCAACCUAUUUAGUGUGGAUAAGGGUAAGACAUUCACGACCGAUUCGUUAUUAAUCAACACCCCUAGUAGUGUAUACCCCUUGCAGCGGGUAGUGACAUGCAGAGCUUUGGUCGAUCCCGUUCCUCCGGGUCGUAUUUCAUCAUCAUUAAAGAAGAUGAAGUUAUCAACGCUUAUGUUGCUAACCAGGCGGUCUAGUUUUUUGAUGGAAAUAUCGUUAGCGACAUAUGUUUCAUUUAAUACUUUCAUCAGUGCCCUACGAUGGACCUCCGAGCUUAGGAGUAAGGCUAACACCGAGAUGCGAGCUAGUUCUUUAUGCAGCUGUUCCACAACACUGUACUAUCUGUGCUUUAAAAAUUUUAAGAAUUCCUUAGCCUCCUCCUCAUUGACCGGCUCAUUAACAGGAGAUUCAGGUCUGGCCAUUUUUUCUUUCUUCUGUUUGACAGCCAAGGCUUUUCCUUUUAUGGGUUCCGUUCUUGCAUUUGCUGAAUCGUAGCGCCUCCCGCUAUGCGUGUAAAAACCUACAGCUUAGUCCUCCCUUGAAACGUCAGCCGGGUUUUACUUUCUCGAGAUUGUUACAUUACAGUCGUAAUUCCAGGGAACCCUCUUGCUGUCUUUAUAGGGAAAGACUGCAGGAUUCUGGAUUAUGACUUUUUGUUCCAUUUCCAUUCCCGCUUCAUUGUUUUUGGGUCGUGAAAUGAUAGCCACUAGGUAGUUGACUUUUUAAAUUUUCACCAUCAAUUCUCCUUCCGACGCGUAUAUACUUCCCUCUUCAGGGCUUUUAAUCUCUUCAUAAAAUUCCAUUUCCUUAUUGUCCAUCAUGCCUUGCACUAAGGCCCUGAACUCGGUACAUUCUUGGAUCUUGUGCCCUUCUCUAUUAUAGAACUCACAGUAGUUCCUCUUUCCUUUAGAUCUUUUCUCUAAAUCCAGUACGAUCAAUCCUCUUUUUACCAUCUCUUUUCAGACCCGUCUCAAUGGGUUUUAACCCGUCUCAAUGGGUUUUAACUUCUGCAACCUCACAUUUGAUUUUCUUACUCCCACAUUCAUUUAUCCUGUUUACCCCUUGGUCAGCAUGGUUGGGUAGUAAGUUUCCUGCUACAUUUGGUGUGAAUGAGUCGUCAAACUUUAUAAUCUCCAUUUUUAUAAAUCUUUCGACUAACAUUUUGAAUGCGGUGCAGUUCUCGAUUGAAUGCCCAGUAAUUCCCGCGUGGUAUUCACGUUGAGCGUUUGCGUCAUACCAUUUGGGAAACGAGAGUUGCAUCAGCUUUAAGUAGAAAGGGGACACCACGUAUGCAUCAAAUAGGUUUUGAUAUAGCUUCCUAUAUGUCAUGGAUAUAGGUGUGAAUUAUAGCCUUUCUGUAUUCGUUCUUAUAUUAGAUUCUUGUCUCGGGGGGCCUUGAUGGUUGGUGGUUACUGUCUUCGGCUAGCUCAAAGUAAUUAACUUGGAAUAACCCUUGCUAUAUGUAUUCAUGUUAUUCACCUCAUUCUUUCUCUUUCUUGGGGCGGAUCUCUUGGUACUUUCCCACGCAUCUAUCUCACCGCUUCUCACUGUAUUUUCAAUCAUUUCACUGGUCAUCACUAUGUCCGAAGCUUUUAGUGGCACUUCCCAACAUAUGGGUGAUGAAUGGAGCUUUUAAAGUGCUGAUAAAAUACAUUGUGGUUUCUUUUUCUAGGAGAGGUAGCUAGACUUGUAUGGCAACUUCCCUCCAUCUUUGGGUAUAUUGUCUGAAGCUCUCAUUUUGUUUCUUCUCUAUGUUUUGUAAAGUGAUUCUAUCAGGGGUCAUAUCCAACACGCGACUAUACGGCUUUAUGAAAGCUUAUGCUAGAUCCUUCUAUGAAUUGAUCUUGGUACGACUCAAUUGGUUGUACCAUUUAGAUGCUGCCCCAACCAGAGUUUCUUGGAAAUAGUGAAUCAUUAGUUGGUCAUUAUUGACAUAUCCUGCCAUUUGUCUACAGAACAUGGUAAUGUAAGCUUUAGGACAGCUAGUCCCCUUGUACUUCUCAAAUUCUGGAGUUUUGAACUUAGGGGGAAGCAUUAGGUCCGGAACCAAGCUCAAACCCUUAGUAUCGAUUCCACCAUGAUAGUCGGCGUUUUUUAUUUCUUUAAAUUUUUCUUCUAACCAUCUACACUAGUCUUCAAGUUGUUUCGGGAGCUCUACCAUUGCCUUUUCUAUUUCUAUCACAUCAUCGAGAUUGGGGACAAUGGGGUUAGUUGGGUUAUCCCCUGGAUUAGAGCCUAAGCCGACUUGGUAGUUCAUCGGUGUUGAAACACCGGCAUGAAACUAUUAGGGCCUGAUUGUAACAGAUGGCCUUCAUGGGUACAUCUCAGGUUGUAUCUGAGCAUUUUUUGGGGUAAAACCUAGGGGGUAAAAAGGAUCUUCAUUUUCAUCUCUACGAAUGACCACAGGGUUCUUUCCUUUUUCUAGCCCGCCAGUUAGUAGUUGUGUUAAUUGGUUCAUCAUAUUCCUCUGGGAUUUUAGCAUCUGAUCCCUCACAUCUUACUAGAUUUUGGCCAACUGUUCUUGCAUUUGUGUUUGUAGUUGCUCUUACAUUUCUUUUUGGAGUUGUUCUAUCCUUUCAAAUCUUUGAUCCAUAACUUUUGUCUUGGCGCGAGUACCGCAACAAUGUUUAGUUGGCAGAUUCUUGUCGAUUUCUAGAUUAACUGAAAUAGUUUUUUAACUAAUUAGGGUCCUUUUGUGACAUUUAAUGCAUAUGAUGCGAUGAAAUGCAAAUGCAUGGGAUGAAUGCAAAAAAAGACAUCGACUCUGAAUCAAUUCCAUUUAGAAUAACUUUACUAGAAAACAAAGUUCUUUACAGAAAACAGAUUACAUGUAUGGCUUAGCCCUGAUACUCAAAGUUUUAACUUUCCUAAGCAACCAAGCUAGCUCUUGGCCCCGAUCUAAUUCUAAUUCAUAUUUUAACACUUAGUACAUUAGCCUGAACUGCUAGAGUUUGUAGAUGGUUGGCAACCUCUCGUAUCUGAGCUACGACUUCAUCCAUAAUGUAAUCUCUGUUUCUAACUUGAUCUUGAGAAUGAUGGAGUUGCUCUUUCCAACGCUCCUCAUUUGCUUCAAGAAGUUCAACCCGGAGUUUGCAGUUUUGUAACACAAUCUCAAGCUCUUUUACCUUCCUUUUCAGCUCUUCAAUCUUGUUCAAGCUCGCCUUCAGCUCAAUUGUAGAGUUUUGACUAUGAUACUGAUGGAGCGACCUUUCCAAUUCUGCCACUCUAGCCUUUAACUCGACUUUUUCAUUUUAUAUUUCUGAUAAACUCUUUUCUAGGGCCUUUUUCCUAACCUAAGCAUCUUGGAUUUUUCUUCCCAUCGAUCGGUAUUAGCUUUCUCCUCCUGGAUCUCUUGUCGCCACUGCUCUGACGUCCUCCCCAAUCCUAUGGUCCUCAUCGAUAAGUGCAACUUUUUGUAAUCCGUUUUCAAGCUAUCUAAAUCUUUUUCAGCCUUAUUCUUUCCCUUUCUUAAUUUCUCGGCUUCUAGAUUCUGAACAUCAGCAUCUAAUCUCAAAUGCAUUUUUUCCUCCUCCAAUUGUUUUAUUUUCUUUCCUAAUUCCGAGUUUUUCCUUUUAAAAUCUUGCUUUAUGAUUUCUAGCUCGGAAGGCACUACUUGCAAGAAUUCCUUCAUCGAUUGAGCACCAUCUUGACUUAGCUAGGGGAUGUUAUCAUUGAUUCUUCUACUCCACCACCCACUAUAUUCGGCGACUAUUAUCGGACCUAUUACAACUCGUUUCAUCCGACAGGUCUGAUUCCUAACGUUAGACAUUUCGCGAACCUUUUUCUUAUAGUUGUCACCCUUAUAUGUGAACUCACACUGAGCUAACCCCCGUGUUGCUGGUAUGAACUGUCUCGAUCUGUACUACCUCAACAUGAGCAAAAGAGCAUAUCUAACGGCUCUCAAAAUCCCAAGUAGCAAGACCCAAUCAAAAUCUCCAAACUGGUACAAAAUCUCAUCAGGAACCAUCCAAAAGGCUCUCCACUCGACAUCCUCUUCUUGGAGAUUUUAGAGGAUCAUUAUCCAUCUUUCCUCUCGUAUGUCAUCCAGUCUCUGUGUAGCCAUUAUUUCCUUUAAUGGGGAAUAAUUCUCAGAGAACACCUGAUACGAAACUUUGUCUAUUUUCCAGAAAUAGCUAUAGAACCAAGCUAGCAAUAGUUGCGCGCACCCGAUGAAUCUUCCCUCACCUACUCUCUAGCAAGCGUUCAAAGAUCUGAAUGUUUCAGCUAAAAUCGUGAGAACCGAUGUGACCCUCUUAUCAAGUCAUUCAAACAAAUCAGAAACCGUCUCAUCUACGUGCCCCAGUGCCUUAGGAAAAACAAUCAGCCUAUAGAUGCUUAAAGCAAAAACAUCAACCAUCAUCUUCAUAUAUGGGUGUGCCAAAAUCAGGUCUCAUAAACUUUUCCAGGGGAUACAUUUGCUUUCUCCUUUCUACUUGAUCUGAGCCACAACCCACUAUUCACUCAUUCUUGUAAUAUUCAUUAACUUUUUCACAAAAGUCGGAACAUUGGUGGCUCUAGAAUAAGCCUUGUCAACUUAAAUCCUUGGGCAACGAAGUAGGGUUGUAUACUCUUCUAUUAUAGGUACCAAGUCCACAUUCCUGAAAGUAAAACAACUGUAGGCAGGGUUCCAGAAUUGAGCCAGAGCUCGAAACAAAUGCUUGUCCACCUUGAUGUCGAAUAGAUGGGGCAGGUCACCAUAAAUACCAUAAAAUAGCUGCUUGAUUUCAUCGUCCCAAUGGACCCAUAUCUCUUUUUAUUCCCGAAGAUCAUUCUGUGUCACGCUGAUACAUGUGAAGUCCUAUAACUCUAAUGUGUAUCCCUCUGCCAAACUAUCUCCUUUUUCUCACUGUGUUUUCUACGACCAUAUACGGACAGUGGCAUUAUCCUCCACUUUAUCAAGAAAUACGUUCUCCAUGGCAAGCUUUCUAUUUAGUAAUCGAAUGUGAAUCAACACUUUUUUUAUGAUGAAAAUGUCAUGCAAUCACAAGCAAAACAACAACAUAAGUCAGUACAAUUUAUACGAAAUUAAAGUCAAUAGGAAAUAACAAGCAAAGCACCUAUUCGGAUGACCACUGAUGGUUUGGUGCGACUCUACUAAAGUGGGCUCUUACGGCUCACUAUAUGUGGUUCGGUUCUAAAGAAAUGGUACUUGAACCAGCAGAUUCCUCGAUCUUCACCCAUUAUAGGUUCAUACAGAUCGAGUUCAAUUCAGGGGAAUACAUUUCCCUAUGGCUAUACGGAAAUGAAAAUCUUACGAAGACAUAGGUACGGAUGUAUCCCGGAAGCGAUCCACUAUUCUGUACGGAGGAGAGAACCUCAAGAAGGAAUAGUUUCUCACUCCCACUUAAAAUGGUAAGAUCGAACGGACAUGCAAUGCAAUAUGCAAAAAUAUUCCAAGACUCGAACCGAUGAAGAGAAAAUCACCAAAAAUGACAAAUGAAAUGCAAUGAAAGAAUCGUAAUUUUAAAUCGAAUUAUCAAUUUUUGACCAAUAAGACAAGAACUAAUCAAAUCGUGGCUUGACUCUCUUAUUCGGUCCCCAGUGGAGUCGCCAAGCUGUCGAAACCCCCUUUUUUUGAAAAAACGUCGACUUUUAUUUUGAAAACGAUAACGAGAGUCGCCACCAAUCUUUUUUUAUAAGGUGUGAUCGGGUCACCUUGUAAUUGAUCAUUUUAAUAAAACGUUUUGAUUUAGUAAAACAACAAUUUUGGCCUUCGUAAUUCGAGAAAAUGGGUUCAGGAGUCGAUUACGUACGAGGAAGGAUUAGCAACCUUGUAACGUCCAAAAUUGGUACCUAAUGGAUUAAUUGAUGUCUUAACGUCAAAAGUUGAAAAUUCGAAAAUUUUAAAAUAUGAUCCCUCUUUGUAUUAAUGCUAAUUUUUACGAAAAAAUUGCUUGAAUAAAUCGAAACGACCAUUAAAGACCUUCUCGCCUUGAAGCAACAAAAUGCCAUAUCCUGUAAGUUAGGAUACGACACCUUAAACCUUUGAGAACAAGCUGGUCUUUAUUUUUUUUAAUCUUUGAAAUCUUACGUGUUUUAAUCUAGAAGGAUAUUCGGUUAUUUAGAUAUAACGAGAAAAAUCAAAACCUUGUAAGUUAGGGCACGACUUUCUCGAGUUUCUAAAUACGAAAUAUUGCCUUUAGUUUAUUUUAAAAUUCGUGUAUUUUAAAACUCGAAAGAGUUUGACUAUUUAGGUUCAAUAAGAAAAAUCGAAACCCCAUAAGUUAGAGUACAAUUUUCUUGAAUCUCCAAAAUGCGAAAUGUUACUUAUUUUUUUAAAAAUUCUUUUUUUGAAUUUUGGUGAAAAUUAAUGCAAUAUUUGAAAAGGUACAUGAAUAAAAUAUUAUGCUAUCAAAUGACAACAAUAUGAGUGUACUAAUAAACGAUUCAUAAGAUACAAUGACAAUAAUCGCGUAACAUACAUCAAUUUAACACCAACAUUAAUAAUCAAAAUAAAAUGACAAACAAAAUAAACAUUAACAUUGAUAACAAUCAUAAUAAUAAUGACAAAGCAGUACACUAAAAAAGGAAAAAUACUAAUAAAUAUAAAUAAGAUAGAGAAACAAAUAAAUAAGUACAUAAAUAAAUAUAGGAGAAUGGUUUGUAAAAAUCUUGAAAAUAAAUAAUCAAAGUAGAAUAUAAAUAAAAUUAAAGCUACCAUUUGUAACAAAACCUAUGUAAAUAAAUAAUAAUAGAUAAAAUAAUAAUAAUGAUAGUAAUAAUAAAUAAUAUAUAUAAGUAAAAGGAAAAUAAGUAAAUGAAUUUUAAUCAUAAAAGGUUUGAAGAAAUAAAUAAAUAAACAAAUAAAAUAUUAAAUGACUUUAGGUAUAUAAAAAAAAUAAUAGAUAUAAAAAUAAAAAUAAUAUUAACUAAAAUGAAGAAUAAUAGAAAAAUUAAUGAAAAAAUAAUAAAAUACAUUAAUCAGAGGACUAUAUUGAAAUCAGAAUAAAAUCAGAGGCAAAAGUCAUGAUAAAUUUAAAAAUGACAGCAAAAUAGGAGCAAAAUAAAACAUGCAAAAAAGGGUAAGGGCCAAAUGGGAAAAUAUCCCAAUAUUCGGACGUGCGUCAUUUGUCCAAAAGAUCAGCGUGCCAAGGACCUAACUGAAUCACGCAAAAAAAAAGUAGUCAAAUUUGUAAAAAUAAAAAAGGUAAGAGGACCAGAUUGUUACACACCGCAAAAGCGGAAGGAUCAAAAGGGUAAAUAACCCUUUUUAACAAAAACACGCGGAUCCUUAGGUACUAGGUUGGGUCGCACACAAGUCAUGUGAAACGGUUCCGUUUUAGGCGUCUGAGGCUUUUUCCAAAACAACGCCAUAUAGGGGUACUAUAUAAGUUAAAAUUCUGCCAAAAAAAUCAUUUUCCCCUUACCUUUAAAAAAAAGCUUUAAAACCCUUCAAAAAAGUUCUCCCCUUCCCCGAUUUCCGGCCAUCGGUCCGGCCUUGCUCUGGUCACCUUUCUGGCAUCGUCUGCCACCAUCGACCACCGCGCACGGCAGCUGGAGCUCAAAAAAGAAGCCUUUUUGGCCGAUUCGGCCUUCUCAACCCCGUUUCCAAACCAAAAACCUUAAAAAAAACUGCUAACAGUAAAAACAAGGGAAAUGCCUCGGUUCUCCCCUUUUCUGAUAAAAAAAGGUAAAAACUUUCCAUUUUCGAUGUAUAUCUAUAUUUAAAAUAAACAUGCGAAGUAAAACAGAAAUAAUAAUACCUAAAAAUCUCAAUUUUCGAUCUUUUUGUGUAUUUGAUGCUCUAUUUUUUUGUAUUCGAAAUAUGUUGUUUUCUUUUUUUUUUAUAUUGAUUUCGUGUGUGUAAAAAAAUACAUAAUAAAUCUUGUAUCCUUUUAUAACCGAAUACAUUUCGUUUGUUUUGCUCUUUUUUUAAGAUGAUUUCUCUGUGUCUGCUGUGUUUGUCUUCUUCGCAGGUAUGGAGGUACGAAGGCGACGUGGAGUGUACGGAGGCUGUACGUGCGAGUGUCAACGUGGCGUUGGAGGCUGGGGGCUAUUGGUUGCAGCACGAAAGGAAAACCCUAGGUUUUCUGAAUGUUUGAUUUUUGGGCCAUUUGGGCUUGUUUUUUAAUUGGGCCAUCGGGCUUUGUAAUUGUAAAAUUGGGCCUGUAAAUUGGAUUGAUAGACUGUUAAUUAUUUUGGUUUUGCUUAUUUUUAUUUUUGUAUCUGAUUUCUGUUUGGGCUAAUUGGUUUGGGCCUUUUUAUUUGUUUGGAAUUUGGGCCCGAGCUAAAUUGGCCUAUUACAUAUGUAAUAUUUAAUAAAGUCGACAAAUAGAAAUUUAUAUAAGUUAUAUAUAUAAAAUUGAGAGGUCACUCUCAAUGUCAUUCAAAUGUUAUUCAACAGUUUGUGUCAGACGAUGUCAUUGCUUAUUGAUUGGUGUAGGGAUUUUGGUUAAAAAAAACUGAAAGUUUUAUCUUAUUCUAAAGAAAUUAUCGUUAAGAGGCCACAAGAAAAAGCCUAAAAAUAUUUUUCGUAAUGCUCUGGAUAAUUUAUUUAUAUGUUUGUAAAUGUUUGAUAAAUGAGUAUCUACUUCAGUGGUUAAGUGCUCUAGAUGCGUGUAUGAGGUUUUGGGUUCAAGUCCUACCUUUAGUAAAUUUUGGUUAUUUUUAGAUCCAAGCCUUACCCUUGUUGUGUGGGCUUAAAAAAAAUUGUCUGUUAAUUUAUAUCAAAAUGAGCUUGCUAGUUUGAGUGAUAAGGAAUUAACUUGUUGGAGGUCCUAUGUUCGAAACCUUUCGUGAGCACGGAAGUUAAUUGUUGCUCAGUUGUGUGUUAGAGUUUUGGUGGAGUUGAGAUUCUGAGUAAGUUGUUUGUUAGUGGGUUAGUAGGGAGAAAUUUGGGGGAUUUGAGUAUAUUCAUAUUAUUUUUUCUUUUUGAUAUUUUUCUCUCUCUAGAAAACUCCCAAAUUUUUUACGUUUAUUUUCUAUAUUCUGGAAAAAUUCUUUUUGUUUCCUUGCUUUUGAAAUUUCAUUUAAAUUCUGUUUUUCAAUUUCGGUUUUUAGUUCUUCGGUGUCUUUGCGCAGUUUGGAAAGUGUAAGGGGUGUUUUCGUGUGGGUUGGGGAAAUCGUUUUAACUGUUCAAAUCAAUGCUAUUCUUUUCUUUCUGUUGUUGAUUUCGAGUUUUGGUAGCAGUGAAUCGAGAAGAAAGGGGCUCUUCUCUCACGGAAUCGUAGUCGAAAUCAUUUAGGGUGUUGGGGGUAAGUGAUGGAUGUUUGAAUGGAACUGUUGCUGGUUUCAUAGUUUCGGUUUAGUAGUGAAUUAAGACUGAUUUUGAGUAUUGGUAUGCCAUUUUUUUUAGGUUUUGGAGGGCUCGUGUUUGCAGUAGUAUUAAAAUUGUACCAGGUUUGUACUCAAAACGUGAAAAAUGAGGUUUCGACGAAGACCAAAAAUGCUUAUUGUCGACGCUACACGGGCGUGUGGUCACCUGAGUGGUUGGCUGUGUGCGAAACACGGUCAUGUGAUCGACGAAGGCAUGGCCAUGCGCAAGACACGGCCGUGUGGUGGCAUGAGUGCGACCAUGUGAGCCACAUGGGCUAAGCCAGGUUGGGCAUGCGGGUUUUAGGCCAGGCUAUGUGGGCCACACGUGCAAGGCCAAUUUGGGCAUGUGGGCCCACACAAGUAAGCCAAUGGACAUGUGGGCCCAGAAUUCUAUAAUUCUCCCUAAAGUCGUACGGGUCGUUCCGAUCAACUGUGGGUCUACCGUAGGGUCGGUAAGUGCUACCCAAACCCUAAAAUUAUAUGAUCUGAUAGUCUGAUGUUCUGCUCUGAGUAUGACAUUCCUAUAUAUGUCUGAUUAGUUUGAUAUAUGUAUAUAUUUGAUAUGUAUAUAUGAGCAUGUAAGCAUGGUAAUUUUGAUUUUGUAUAUCUGAUUGGGGUGGGAUAUAUAUAUGGAGGAACUGUUCUGUAUGACGACCAUCACCUAUAUUCUGGCAGCUUGGUUGCACAUUAUCUGAUAUGUGUCAUAAUGAUACGAUAUGGUGUGUAGGUAUAGGUAGGUGUUUUUAACCCUACAUGGUGUGUUGGAAUGGUCGCAGUUGGUGUGUAGAGGAUGGGGGUAGAUUCUGUAUAUCUGUUCUGCAUAUUUGUUUCUGUUAUCUGAAUCUGAAAAGGACUUAGGUCUGAAUUUGAAUCUGAAUUCUAUUGUGUCUGUGAUUUUUGUAUGCAUAACAUGUCUAUUUUUUUGGGUUACACAUUGAGUUUACAAAAACUCACAUCCGUUUGUCUGUUCUAUUCAGGUAAUCCACAGACUUAGACGGGUUGGUGCGACGAAGGCUCAACGGUGACCACUUGAUCGAGAAUUGUUUUAAUUUAGUAAUUUAUGGUUUUUAUUUAUAAUUCUGGUUUUUAAGAGUUUGUAAUUUUGGGACUCUUCGGACUGUUGGUUUUUAUUUUUGUUUUGGAUGUGUUUUUGAUGUUUUAAUUGCAAUGCCUGUCUGAAAUCACAGUUUUACGAAAACAAAGGUUUUCUAAAAACACGAAUUGCAUUCUUAAAGUAUAAUGGUUUUAAGACUUCUGCUGUAAAUUAUGUUUUGGCAAAUGGACUAAUUAAAUGACGUUAUUAAUAAUAAUUAUAAAUGAAUAUGAGUUAUAAAAGUUGAAUGGUUUAUCGAAACAACUCAGUUUCCAAAACCCAUUCUUUGUGACGUCUCCAGAUUCGGCCUUUACAUCUAGGCCGAAUUUGGGAUGUUACAUUUGUAUAAAAAAUCUUCCAAUUUUCUUCCUCUCCGCUUUGUUAUAAAUUACUUAUUGAUUAUUAGGAAAAAUAAGAUUUUACGAAAACUAGGAGAAGACUGAAUGCAAUGGAAAGAAUAUAAUUAGAUGAAGCAAUGCGAUAAGGGCAAGCAGAGAUAUGGCGUUACAUGUUCAGCUUCGCAGAUUCCAUAACGCUUAAGUCUGCCGUAGAGUUUCGCAUAGCUAACAUAAUACACUCUCAUGGUGGCCCCAUAACUUUGUCGCAAAUAGCUUCAUGUAUUACUGACGGCCUUACUUCUCCUGACAUCACCACCAUUGCUCGCAUAAUGAGAUUGCUCAUUCAAAGAAAGAUUUUCAUCAUCCACCAUCCUUUAGAUGGUAGAGAUUUCUUGUUCGACCUAAGUAACUCAUCGAGAUGGCUUCUACAUGAUUCGGAGCAAACCUUGACGCCCAUAGUACUAAUGGAGAACCAUCCAUGGCAAAUAGCUCCUUGGCACUACUUCAGCCAAUGCGUGAAAGAAGGUGGAAUUGCCUUCAAGAAAGCUUAUGGAUAUGAGAUAUGGGAUUUAGCAUCAGGGAAUCCUUAUUUCAACAAGCUUUUUAACGAUGGCAUAGCUUGUACAUCCAAGGUUUGUCACUAGUGUAAUCCUAUCAAGUUACAACCAGGGUUGAGCUCUAUUAGAUCGUUGGUUGAUGUCGGAGGCAGGAUUGGAGGCUUAAUAUCAGAUAUCGUCAAAGCAUAUCCACACAUCAAAGGUGUUAACUUUGAUUUACCGCAUGGCGUCUCAACGACACCAACAUACAAUGGGGUCUCCUAUAUUGGUGGUGACAUGUUUCAUGCCAUUCCAAAUGGUGAUGCAGUCAUUAUGAAGGUACUUCCUUAAAUCAUGAAUUUAAAUUCAUUUUUCAUGGAGUAUAGCAUUAAGAAAAUUUUUACUAAUAUUGUAACUACCACGAUUAUUGUUUUUUUCUCUUGUAAUUGUGAGAGUGAAAAUACACGAUUCAAGGUAUAAAAAUCAAAGCAGUCCAAUUCUGGUAAAAAUACCAUAGAGAUUUUUGUAUUAUAGACUACAUAAUUUUUUAUCUCUAUCCAUUUAAAAAAGGCUUUACUUGAAUAUUACCCUCAACACAAGUAAAAAUAAACUUAGACCAUAAAAUAGUAAAAGAUUUUUAUAAUAAUUGAAAUGGUUUGUUAAUCUUAUAAGGUGAAGAUAAUUAAAAUGGUCUUUUUUCUUUGAACAAUUUCAUUAUAGGUUUUGAUUAUAUCUGCUCAUAUUAAUUGUUGAUUAAUGAACUUCAUAAUUAAUUAUGUGGAAGAAUUUAAAAUUAAAGGUGCAUAAAAAUAAUAAUGUAUGCACUAGUUAUACAUCUUUUUAAUUUUUGUUGAUUUGAUUCUCACUUUCCUUUUUUAAUAUAAUUCUCACUUCCUUUAUUUGAUAUAUGAAUUCUAUUGUAAGUUUACAACAAUUAUCUUUCUAUAAAAGUAUGUUGUUAUAGGUAUAUAACAACCACCUCUUUAUAACAAGUAAAAUCUUGACAGAAAAAUAGGGUUGUUAUAGAGAAGGUUUACUAUAGUAUAGAUAUCGAUAUGUUUGGUUCAAACUGAUGUUUAAAUAAGGUUUACUAUAGUAUAGAUAUCGAUAUGUUUGGUUCAAACUGAUGUUUAAACUAAUUAAAUUUUCAAACUGAAAAAACCUAUUUGUAUUGACUAUCUUAAUAAGGAAAAAGUACCAUAAAUGUCCCUAUAAUAGGAGUCAGUAGAGGUGAUCAUGGGCCGGGCCGGGCUGGGUCUGGACAAAAUUUUAGGCCCAUAUAUUAGGCCCAGCCCAGGUCCGGCCCCAAAUAUGGGCCUAAAAAUUUGUCCAAGCCUGGCCCGAAAUAAAAUUGUUAAGCCCGAGCCCGGCCCGGCCCAUAUUAAAUUUUUUUUCUUAUUUCAUUAAAUAAAAAAAAUUAAAAAUAUAAUAAAUCAAAUAUAUUUAAAAACAUAAAAAUAAAUAUUAAAACAAAUAAAAAUAAUACUAAAACAAUUCUUAAAACAAUACACAAAUUAACAAUAUAAUAAAAAAAUGGUUAUAUUAAAAAUUUAAAAUGAUUAAAAAUAAAAUAAAAAAUAAAUUAAUAUAUAAUUCGGGCCGGGCCGGGUCGGGCCCGAGACAAAAAACUCUUACCCGAGGCCUGGCCCGUUUUCUAAACGGGCCUCUUUUUUUACCCAAGCCCAUUUUUCGGGCCUAUAUUUUUACCCAAAGCCUCCCAUUUUUCAAGCGGGCCUUCGGGCAGGGCCGGGCCGCCCGGCCCAUGAUCAGCUCUAGGAGUCAGAUUGUAUUUUUUCCUCUCUACUCACAAAAUAGACAAAUUAGUCACUGUAUAUUGAUUAAAGAGCAAAUUGGUUAUUUGUUAAAAAUUUUAUCUAUUUUUAUUGCUCAAAAUUGGUCACUGUAUAUCAACAUUAUAUACACAUGGCACAUAACGUGUCACUGUCUAGUUAUUCUAUCAAGUAUGUCAGUUUUUAGUACAUAAAAAAUUGGAAUUAAAAUAGAAGCUAAAUUGAAUUCUUCUACCUAAAAAAUUGUUAUCAAUUUAUUUUUAAGGGCCAAUUCAAAAUUUUAUGUCCAAAGGCCAAUCUUUUAUGGUUUCUGAACCCUAAUUUCUGUAUGGCCUCUAGUGUGAACGCAGAAGGAAAAGUCAAAUUUCUCAACCAAUCACGUUUUAGCAAUAUAAUUAGUCAAAAAUGUGAAAUGCUUUAUGAAAUACAUGAAUUUAUGAAAUAUUUUAAUCCUUUUUAUAAGAAUAAAAAAUAGUAAUAGCCAAAUCUCGUCAGCCGGCACUUUGAUAAUACGGCAACAAACCUUAUCCUCUCUAUGGUUCUGUUAUUAUAUUGUAUUCCUCUUAUUUUAUUUUAUUUUUUCUCCCUAAACAAGGCUUCUUCUUAUGUUUUAUGUUUGGACUAUCCAAAUGUUAUUCAACAGUUUGUGUUGGAAGACGUCAUUGCUUAUUGAUUGAUGUUUUUUCUUAUAGGGAUUUUGAUUAAAAAAACUGAAAGUUUUAUCUUAUUCUAAAGACAUUCAUUAAGAGGUGACGAGAAAAAGAAUUAAAAAUAUUUGUAUAAAAGAAAUCCUCACUCACAAUUCUCUUCCUCUCCGCUUUACUAUAAAUUACUUCUUGAUUAUUAGGAAAAAUAAGAUCCCACGAAAACUAGGAGAAAGGCCGAAUGCAAUGGAAAGAACAGAAUUAGAUGAAGCAAGGCUACAAGGGCAAGCAGAGAUAUGGCGUUACAUGUUCAGCUUUGCAGAUUCUAUGGCGCUUAAGUCUGCCGUGGAGCUCCGCAUAGCUGACAUAAUAUACUCUUAUGGUGGUGCCGCCACUUUGUCGCAAAUAGCUUCAUGCAUUAAUGAUGGCCUUACUUCGCCAGAUAUCACCACCCUUGCUCGCAUAAUGAGAUUGCUUGUUCGCAGAAAGAUUUUCACUAUCCACCAUCCUUCAGACCGUAGAGAUUCCUUGUAC
rnacentral:lncRNA from 1 species